AACGAGGUAUUCAGUGCCCUUCGAUAAAUCUUAGAAGCAAGAUUCAUAUAAAAGAUGAAUUCUUUCACCUUGGAAUUAAUAGCAAUUCUUGUUCUUUCGAUGUCUUUAUGGCAUGCAACUGAUGGUGGACCGGCUCCUGCUGUUACACGAUUAGAAAUCACAAGUCAUUCAUGCAAUGGAAGAAAUCCUGUCUUUUAUUAUGUCCAGAUCGGAUACGCAACGUCUACCAUAGUAACUUGGGAUGGCUCUGAUGCCAGAAGUGAUUGUACUGAAGUCGAAAGAUACACCGAUUGGAGUAGGAUCAUCACUGGAUGGAGAUAUAGAUGCGAACAAAAGAAUAUCUGUACUGCUACCCUUAAACUUCUCAAUGGAAAUUUAAGGGACCAACAGUUUCAAGACUGUUGCAAUGUACACUAAAUUCAAAUAGUUUUCCUGACAAUGGAAAUUUUGAUGAAGAAAUUAACUCUGUUUAAAAUAAUGCAUUUAAUACAUAAACACUAAAGUUCAAUAUUACUUUCAAGUACAUACAAAUGUUUCCUCAAGCUAGUUAGUUGAAAUCUUAAGGUUGAAAAACUGUUGCAGUUGUCACAUACAUAAUAAAUGCAAUACUUCGUAG